GCUUCUAAGCCAAGUCCAAAGUAGGAAUGUUGCAUUUUCAAACAAUUUGUUAGCAUUGGAAAACAGUAUUCUAUUUUUGAGUUGCCAAAUAGACCAUGUUAAAGCCAACCACCAAUACUGCCAUCUCUUCAUCCUUAUGCCUUCAGCCUGAAUAUGUGUAUGUUGAAGGAAAUGAUGUUUUGGAGUUAGCGGGAAAGCA
rnacentral:pre_miRNA from 1 species